AAUUCUUUAGUAUAAAUUUAGUAUGAUUGAUUUCCAAUCGAUGGGUUUUAGAAUUA
rnacentral:tRNA from 1 species